ACUCCUACGGGAGGCAGCAGUGGGGAAUAUUGCACAAUGGGGGAAACCCUGAUGCAGCCAUGCCGCGUGUGUGAAGAAGGCCUUCGGGUUGUAAAGCACUUCAGUAGGGAGGAAGGUAGUGUAGUUAACACCUGCACUAUUUGACGUUACCUACAGAAGAAGCACCGGCUAACUCCGUGCCAGCAGCCGCGGUAAUACGGAGGGUGCGAGCGUUAAUCGGAAUUACUGGGCGUAAAGCGCAUGCAGGCGGCCUGUUAAGUCAGAUGUGAAAGCCCGGGGCUUAACCUCGGAAUUGCAUUUGAAACUGGCAGGCUAGAGUCUUGUAGAGGGGGGUAGAAUUUCAGGUGUAGCGGUGAAAUGCGUAGAGAUCUGAAGGAAUACCAGUGGCGAAGGCGGCCCCCUGGACAAAGACUGACGCUCAGAUGCGAAAGCGUGGGGAGCAAACAGGAUUAGAUACCCUGGUAGGAUAGCG
rnacentral:rRNA from 1 species